rnacentral:rRNA from 1 species
UGCGCAGGCGGUUUCGUAUGUCGGAUGUGAAAGCCCACGGCUCAACCGUGGAACUGCAUCCGAAACUGCGGGACUAGAGUACAGGAGGGGAGAGCGGAAUUCUUGGUGUAGCGGUGAAAUGCGUUGAUAUCAAGAAGAACACCGGUGGCGAAGGCGGCUCUCUGGAAUGUUACUGACGCUCAUGCACGAAAGUCGGGGAGCAAACA